UACGUAGGUGGCAAGCGUUGUCCGGAAUUACUGGGUGUAAAGCGCGUGUAGGCGGCAGACCAAGUCGGCGGUGAAAGCGCCCGGCUCAACUGGGCGAGGUCCGUGGAAACUGGUCAGCUGGAGGACGGUAGAGGCGAGUGGAAUUCCCGGUGUAGUGGUGAAAUGCGUAGAGAUCGGGAGGAACACCUGUGGCGAAAGCGGCUCACUGGACCACAACUGACGCUGAGGCGCGAAAGCUAGGGGAGCAAACAGG
rnacentral:rRNA from 1 species